rnacentral:rRNA from 1 species
UGCAAGUCGAACGGUAGCACAGAGGAGCUUGCUCCUUGGGUGACGAGUGGCGGACGGGUGAGUAAUGUCUGGGAAACUGCCCGAUGGAGGGGGAUAACUACUGGAAACGGUAGCUAAUACCGCAUAACGUCGCAAGACCAAAGAGGGGGACCUUCGGGCCUCUUGCCAUCGGAUGUGCCCAGAUGGGAUUAGCUAGUAGGUGGGGUAACGGCUCACCUAGGCGACGAUCCCUAGCUGGUCUGAGAGGAUGACCAGCCACACUGGAACUGAGACACGGUCCAGACUCCUACGGGAGGCAGCAGUGGGGAAUAUUGCACAAUGGGCGCAAGCCUGAUGCAGCCAUGCCGCGUGUAUGAAGAAGGCCUUCGGGUUGUAAAGUACUUUCAGCGAGGAGGAAGGCGUUGUGGUUAAUAACCGCAGCGAUUGACGUUACUCGCAGAAGAAGCACCGGCUAACUCCGUGCCAGCAGCCGCGGUAAUACGGAGGGUGCAAGCGUUAAUCGGAAUUACUGGGCGUAAAGCGCACGCAGGCGGUCUGUCAAGUCGGAUGUGAAAUCCCCGGGCUCAACCUGGGAACUGCAUCCGAAACUGGCAGGCUAGAGUCUUGUAGAGGGGGGUAGAAUUCCAGGUGUAGCGGUGAAAUGCGUAGAGAUCUGGAGGAAUACCGGUGGCGAAGGCGGCCCCCUGGACAAAGACUGACGCUCAGGUGCGAAAGCGUGGGGAGCAAACAGGAUUAGAUACCCCUGGUAGUCCACGCCGUAAACGAUGUCGACUUGGAGGUUGUGCCCUUG